UGGGGAAUCUUCCGCAAUGGACGAAAGUCUGACGGAGCAACGCCGCGUGAGUGAUGAAGGUCUUCGGAUUGUAAAGCUCUGUUAAUCGGGACGAAAGAGUUCUGUGUGAAUAAUGCAGAAAAGUGACGGUACCGGAAUAGAAAGCCACGGCUAACUACGUGCCAGCAGCCGCGGUAAUACGUAGGUGGCAAGCGUUGUCCGGAAUUAUUGGGCGUAAAGCGCGCGCAGGCGGCCUAUCCAGUCUGUCUUAAAAGUUCGGGGCUCAACCCCGUGAUGGGAUGGAAACUAGUAGGCUAGAGUAUCGGAGAGGAAAGCGGAAUUCCUAGUGUAGCGGUGAAAUGCGUAGAUAUUAGGAAGAACACCAGUGGCGAAGGCGGCUUUCUGGACGAAAACUGACGCUGAGGCGCGAAAGCCAGGGGAGCGAACGGGAUUAGAUACCCCGGUAGUCCUGGCCGUAAACGAUGGGUACUAGGUGUAGGAGGUAUCGACCCCUUCUGUGCCGGAGUUAACGCAAUAANUACCCCGCCUGGGGAGUACGGUCGCAAGGCUG
rnacentral:rRNA from 1 species